CAAAGGGAAACAGCUGCACCAAGGCAUCCACCAGGCUCGCCAAGGCAUGCUGGAUAAGGAAUGUAAAGGAGAGAAGACUUCCCCAAAAUGGAGAAUAAAAUGUCAACAUCAAGAAAACAGGAAAUCAAUGGACCUGAGGACAGUCACUUUUAUAUCUAAGCAGACA